rnacentral:rRNA from 1 species
AGCGGCGGACGGGUGAGUAACGCGUGGGUAACCUGCCUCAUACAGGGGGAUAACAGUUGGAAACGGCUGCUAAUACCGCAUAAGCGCACAGUACCGCAUUGGUACCGUGUGAAAAACUCCGGUGGUAUGAGAUGGACCCGCGUCUGAUUAGCUAGUUGGUGGGUAACGGCCUACCAAGGCGACGAUCAGUAGCCGACCUGAGAGGGUGACCGGCCACAUUGGGACUGAGACACGGCCCAA